AGGAAGCAGAAUGCUUGGCGUUAAGGUGGGGUUGCUUUUAGAACCCCCUUUGAGUUUCGUGGCCCAUUUUUGCGGAGCUAUUUGAGCUAUUUGGAAUGGAGGUAGUUUGGCGUGCCUUUUUUUUUUUUUUUUCUCCUUGUUACAAAAUAUUCCCACUGUAGUUCCAGGGAACUGAAGUCAGGACUUCUGAGCCCUCUCCUGUGACAGUGCCUGUGCUACGUGUUAGCUGCCUUCAGCGCGUUCUCUGGCUGUAGUGCCUGCACCCUGCGUGCAGAGGUGAAACCCGAGGGGCUGCCCAAAGGCCUCGUCUUUGGGGUUAGAAAAUGUAAGUGGAAAACUGCCUGACCUGGUAAGUCAAGAGCAGGUUGUACGGAGAUUUUUGUAACUCUGAAAUUUCCACUAGAAUAUUCUGGAGUUACAAAAAUCUCCAUACAACAGCUGCUGUCUCACAAACGCUUAUUCCCUUUUGACAAGGUUUCUGUCACUUCUACCCUGUGCAGAGACAAUGCGACGUCUUCAAGUCUUUUUGAGCAGCUACUGGGGCGGAAACAGAUGGGUUGAGACAGAUACCUUGAGACAGAAGGUAGCUCCCAAGGAGGAGGAUUGGCCUGAUGGGGACUCGAGGCUGGUAAGAAAGGAGAGAUGGAGAAGACCUCCACUAAGGCAAACUUGUUCUCUGCAUUAUGUGCUCCAGAGUGCUGCUGAACCAGUUGGUGUUGCUUUGUUCCCAUGCAAGAAACUACCCCAUUACUUGGUCUGGAUCCUCACUUCCUUGGUCCCAUUCAGCUGAAUCCGCUGCAGCAAACCGAGGGAUGUCUCAGCUGGAAGGAGCGCUCUCGUUUUGCCCGUGUUUUGUUAUGCAGCAGCAUAUUAGGGCUGUGAGAUCACCUGGCUCUUCUGAGGGCUGGCACUGCCCUUGGAGCCCCGUGCCGUGUGGGUGCAGGGGGUGCCCGUGCCCAUCCCCAGUGCUUAUUUUAGGAUCAGCUUCCCAAGGCAUUGAUGCUUUCUGGGUGUCUGCAAGCCCUCUUCUGCUCCCUUAACCUCCUUUCCUUGGCUAUGGAUUACAGUGAGCAGAAACUACCUGCCAGCUUCUCCCUCAUCGACUUCUCGUCUUCGCUGUGCAAAACCCAUUAUUGGUUUUUAAAUGGUGAGGCUGUAAGUGCUGUGCUGCCAGGAUUGCAGCUCCUCUUUGGGUCUGUUAAGGAGCAGCCGUGUCCGGGGCAUCGCCGUGCUGUUUGCUGCAGGAGUGAGUGUCCAGCGUCAGCAUCUGCAUUUAGUCACCAUCCACUUCCACGGCUUUUUGAUCUGACAGGAAGAUAAACAUCUCUCUGAGCUAAAAAUCUUCCCAUCUGAAGCUCUAGGACACUUAAUUACCGUGCGGCAAAUAUAUUUUAUAUAGCCAUUACAAAUAAUUUAGCCACCGCAAUAUGGCAGUUUAAUUUCUGCUAUUUAUCUCAAUCAUUUUGCAUGAGAGAGAGAAGUGCCCCGGCGUGAUCUCAAGGGGACGCUUCAUCUCCUUCUGUGUGGCUACAGGUGAAGCCUGCACAGUACUUUUCUGUGUCAAAAUGAGUUUUGCAGGCAGCCGGCCUGAAUUAAAGCACCAAAACCGGAUAAACAGAAACUCUGCCUGCAUUUUGUGUACGAACCUAAUGCAAAUUACCAUUAAAGUAUCUUACCUUCAAGCACAGAAGAUGGGGAAAGGAAAUAAACCCACCCACCCAUAUCCGUGCA
rnacentral:lncRNA from 1 species